GACGAACGCGGGCGGCGUGCUUAACACAUGCAAGUCGAGCGGAGCGGCGAACGGGUGAGUAACGCGUGAGUAACUGCCCCCCUCUCUGGGCUAACAGGUGGAAACGGAUGCGAAUACCGGAUAGUGGGGGAUGACUCGCGGCCUAUCAGCUUGUUGGUGGGGGAGUGGCCUACCAAGGCGACGACGGGUAGCCGGCCUGAGAGGGAGACCGGCCACAUUGGGCUGGGAUACGGCCCAAACGCCUACGGGAGGCAGCAGUGGGGGAUAGUGCACAAUGGGCGAAAGCCUGAUGCAGCGACGCCGCGUGGGGGAUGAAGGCUUUCGGGUUGUAAACCUCUUUCGCUAUCGAAAGGGUAGGUGGAGAAGAAGCGCCGGCUAACUACGUGCCAGCCGCCGCGGUAAUUC
rnacentral:rRNA from 1 species